UAACAAUAAUAAUAAUGCACCUUAAACGCUUGAUUCUGACAAACUGUUGAAUUUUAUGCUGUUGCAUGUGUGUGUUCUGUAUCAUCUUAAAUACAUAUCCUUUCCCCCGUACACAGAAUCCUCUGUUCUUAAAUACAUAUUCUUUCCCCCGUACACAGUUUGUUAGUGCAUUGGCAAUCAGCACAGACAGGCCUGUACAGGUGUUUGGGAGAUGACCGUGUCAGAAGUUAACAGGAUUUCACCCUGCUAUGGAAACCAGAGAUAGAAAUCGGAAAAUGUUUAUGUGAUAUUGCAUCCAGAGUGACAAGUGUCAAUAGUUUCUGGAUGGAGGUGAGGCAGGGCCCAGUGAACCUAGGGAAGACAAGCAGGGGAGGAACAUGCCAGGCCAUGUAGAAUCACAUCCUGAAGACCCUUAUAUUACGAAAGAUUGAAAAAGCGGAAUGGUUUGAGGAUUUUUUUAAUGACCCUACAAGUUCAAUUAAACCAUCAAAAUAUGAGGGUUCUGUUUUACUGAGCCCUCAUUCUCUGAAAUACACACUGUGGGAGUGAAGAGGCAUGACCGCACCAGCAAUUACUGACUCCGCACCUCUGACUCUUUAAUUUGUUCCUCACGGACUUGCCUGCAGCCAAUACGCAAAAUCAAUAGUCUCUCCUCCAGAAGAACUACUGCCAACAGCUCCACUGACACAUGAAGAUACAUGUUCUUACAUGAGUCUUUACUCUUCUGCAAAUCCGCUAAGUGGCUGUCUGUCAACACGAGGGCCGGACUGUGAAAUGCCGGUGAGGAAGCAGCCUGCAGACUGUUUGCACUGAUGUCACAGAGAGGUAUGAUGACGUGUGUGCACCAACAGUGCAGUUAGGUCUGUCAGUGCGCAUCCAUCACGGACAUGGCCGGUCACUGGCCUCUCUCCAUCCCCACAGCUGAGACCAAUGUGGACAGACAGUUGGAGCCCCUUGUAUUUAAAGCUAAGAAGUUCAGACAGAUGACACCCCUCAGGGAGGGCUGCAAAUGUGUGUCCCCUCCCCUGCACUUUAUGAAAUUCUCAGAGUGAGGCGAGAGAUCCUGGUUAUUGCCUGUCACCGUUUCGAUUCGGUUGUUGGUUGUUACUGGUCAUCCAAGAGUCUAUUGAAUAUCAGCUAUGUUCUCUGGUUGUGUCUCUCCUGGAGCUCUUCAAAUGAGAUGUAAAGGGAGAAAAUAACGCUCAGUCUCAUUCUGGUUGCCAUUUAGCCUAAUGCUGAGAGACACUUCGAACAAGUCGAAACAUAACCCGUGGACCACAAGCCACAAAUUCUAAAUCAUUGAUGAGAUGCUCCUCUUAGCUAUACACUCUGGCCGCCCCGUCAAUCUUCUUCGCCAAUUAUGCUCCACCAUCCUUUAUGUUUUUCAAGGAAGAGGUUGUGUUUUUGCUGUGACCUUCUCUUUAUGCUGGAUUCACGCUUGAAGCGUCCAAUGAUAUUGUUCUUUUCAGUCACAUCAGAAUGAUCGCUGUCAUAUUGCAUCUUAUUUGAUUGCCUUCCACCAAGAUUAACUACAUGGAUGAAAAGCAUACCUCUGUCAACUGUGCUCAUUGAGAAUGCCCAGAGGAUCAUUUUAUUCCUCACAGGUUGCUCUUACAUAGCUCUAGAGACUUAGUGGAGUUCCCAGUUAUGUUUCAUUGAAGCAUCAACUUUGUUUCACAUAUUUUUUAUCUAAAAUUGA